UCCGUGUUAACCACGGCAGUCUCCUUAGAGAGCCCAACUUAAUGCUGGCAACUAAGGACAAGGGUUGCGCUCGUUGCGGGACUUAACCCAACAUGUCACCACACGAGCUGACGACAGCCAUGCAGCACCUGUCAUCUUGCUGUAUUGCUACAGAAACCGUAUCUCUACGGCGAUCAAGAGAUGUCAAACCCAGGUAAGGUUCUUCGCGUUGCUUCGAAUUAAACCACAUGAUCCACCGCUUGUGCGGGCCCCCGUCAAUUCCUUUGAGUUUUAACCUUGCGGCCGUAGUCCCCAGGCGGUGAACUUAAUGCGUUAGCUGCGGCACUGAUCGGGUCAAUCCGACCAACACCUAGUUCACAACGUUUAGGGCGUGGACUAC
rnacentral:misc_RNA from 1 species